CUCACACUAGACCUGGGCUGUCAGGUUCACCAUAUCACCUGAGGAGAUAUCACCAGCCAGAGGGAGACGUUCUCCAGUCAGGAUGAGUUCCCUGACCUCUGACCCUAACCAGACAGACAUCAACACCAUCAUCCGACCCCCUUACUUCUUCAUCAGUGGUUUCAUAGCCAUCCCCUACAUGAAGUACUACUACUGCUUCCUCUGUUUUGUAUACAUCAUCUCUCUGGUGGGCAACACCUUCGUCAUGACUGGCAUCUACGUGGACCGCAGUCUCCACAG